UGAUAGCUAUGAAGCGCGAGGUUGCUGCCGAUGCAAAAACAUAAGCGAAGGCAGGUUUUCCGUGGAGCGAAUGUCAAGUUAGGAAACUGGCGACAA
rnacentral:ncRNA from 1 species